rnacentral:rRNA from 1 species
GCUUAAGCAUAUCAAUAAGCGGAGGAAAAGAAACCAACAGGGAUUGCCCUAGUAACGGCGAGUGAAGCGGCAACAGCUCAAAUUUGAAAUCUGGCCCUUGGGUCCGAAUUGUAAUUUGUAGAGGAUGUUUUUGGUGCGGUAUCUUCCGAGUUCCUUGGAACAGGACGCCUUAGAGGGUGAGAGCCCCGUACGGUUGAAUGCCUAGCCUUUGUAAAACUCCUUCGACGAGUCGAGUAGUUUGGGAAUGCUGCUCUAAAUGGGAGGUAAAUUUCUUCUAAAGCUAAAUACCGGCCAGAGACCGAUAGCGCACAAGUAGAGUGAUCGAAAGAUGAAAAGCACUUUGAAAAGAGGGUUAAAUAGCACGUGAAAUUGUUGAAAGGGAAGGAUUUAUGACCAGACUUUUUCUAGGCGAAUCAUCCGGUGUUCUCACCGGUGCACUUCGUGUAGUUUAGGCCAGCAUCGAUUUUCGGGGUGGGAUAAAAGCUUUAGGAAUGUGGCUCCACUUGUGGAGUGUUAUAGCCUAUUGUAUAAUACCGCUCUGGGGAUCGAGGUACGCGCUUCUGCAAGGAUGCUGGCGUAAUGGUUAUCAAUCACCCGUCUUGAAACACGGACCAAGGAGUCGAACAUUUGUGCAAGUGUUUGGGUGUUAAACCCUCACGCGUAAUGAAAGUGAACGGAGGUGAGAGCCCUUUACGGGGUGCAUCAUCGACCGAUCCUGAUGUCUUCGGAUGGAUUUGAGUAAGAGCAUAAAUGUUCGGACCCGAAAGAUGGUGAACUAUGCGUGGAUAGGGUGAAGCCAGAGGAAACUCUGGUGGAGGCUCGCAGCGGUUCUGACGUGCAAAUCGAUCGUCAAAUCUGCGCAUGGGGGCGAAAGACUAAUC